rnacentral:lncRNA from 1 species
CGAAGAAAAUCUUGUGCUUCUAGUUCAACUAGAAAAUAUUUUUCCUUUUCCACCACACCAACUAGAAAAAUAUGUUUCCUUUCGAUUCAUCGAUUUCUGUUUAUCAUCCCAAAUUAUACGCUCCUACUUAUUACCUCAUAUAAUUUCAAUAUCAAAAUGUUCAAUUCUCGAUCAUGUUUCGCCAAUGCAACCAAUCCAGUUGUUGUAUGUGAAGGAUUUUUGCAACUUUUGUAACUUUUGCAUUGAAGUUAUUCAUUAAAAUGAUCAUGUCGAGAUCGCUUCACGAAUUUGAAUUAUAAAAAAUGGUUAUUUCUUGAUAAAUGGUGAUUGGACUAAUAUCAAUAAUGUCCCAUGUUUUGGCACUAAAUUGAGAAAAGCCCUGUAUUUAAUUUUUCAUUUACUGUGACCACGAUAUUUUCAUGGAAUUAUCGUUUGAAAGAUUAUACCUGGUCACCAGCAGGUAACAUGUACCAUCCGUUCACCACUAAGUUAUUCCCUAUCCAUCACAUUUCACGAAGCAUCACUACUAAAGGUUUUCAUGCAUUCGAGAAGGGUUUCACAGUCCCCAAUUUCGCAAUUUGAAGCUCUGAAAUCGUUGGCUAAGUAAAGUGGAGUAGAAAGGUACGUGUAUGGAAACAAGAAAUUGAUGAUUAUGAGGGUGGUUAUCUUCGUCAAUAGAGUAUGGAGUUCCAAGUUUGGAUUAACAAGUUAUUAUUUUUUUUAUGAAACAAAUGGCUUAUACUUCUGGAACUAAGAAGCGUAAAGGGCCUAAGCUCCAUGAGAAGACAUACCUUCCAGAAUCUGAAUGCGAUGAUGAUGCAUUUGACUUUAGCUUCUUGGAUUUUUUUUGAAGAAACUUUCAAAGCCCCCUCAAAACUAUGUGAUGAUCAUUUUCUUAACUUAUUGUGUGACAAAAACAUAUUAAGGAGGAGUAUUGAUGGAAUGGUAGAUGAUGGAGACAUUCCUGGUGUCCGACAAAAUGAGCAUGCCCACUUAGAUGAGGACGAUGAAGAUGUUGGUGUGGAGUAUAGGGUGCAUGAUCCCAAUGUUAACUGGAAAGAAACGAGGCCCCGAUUAGGAUAUUGUAAUGAAUCCCCUGAUCAACUCAGGUUUGCUUUAACUAAUUAUGCAGUCCAUGGAAGGUACCAACUUUAUUUUGAAAAAAGUGAUAGAGUGACGGUAUAGCUAAGUGUGGUAGUGGAAGCAGUGAUAAUAAAAAAAAUGCAAUGUCCAUUUAGGGUUGCAGAUGGAUGGAAGUACAAUGAAAGGACAUUCUAGAUUAAGUUUUGUAAUGAAAUUCAUUUGUGUGCUAGGAAUUAUCAUUUUAGUUCCCUAGUUACUAGCAAUUGGUUAGCCAAACACUACCUGAAAGAUGUAAUCAUGAAGCCCAAGAUGACAUUGCUAGAGAUGCAAGCAUAUGUGCUACAAAGGUUUUCAGUGAGUGUAUCUGUUGGGCAAUGCCAAAGAGCAAGGCAACUGCAAUGAGGAUGAUAGAAGGGAAGUUAGAAGACCACUAUGCCAGGGUUUGGGACUAUGCAGCUGCAAUUAGGUUGAGUAAUCCGGGUACAAGUUGCUUGGUGGGGUUAGAAAGUAAUUCGGGGUGUAACUAUUUCAAAAAGUUUUAUGUUGGCUUCAAGGCUUUCAGAAAUGGAUGGAACAGAGAAUAUAGAAGGGUAAUAGGACUAUAUGGUAGUUUCUUAAAGGGGAAGGUUAAUGGGAUAUUUUAACUGCUAUUGGGAGGGAUGCAGACAACCAUGUCUACCCAAUAGCAUGGGCAGUUGUGAAUGUUGAGAAUAAGGACAAGUGGACCUGGUUCAUUGAGAAUUUGGUUGUUGAUUUGGAUCUUGGUUCUGGCAAUGGACUAGUUGUUAUCUAAGACCAAGACAAGGUACCACAACAUACACUAGUAUACCAUAUAUAUAUAUAUAUAUAUAUAUAUAUAUGUUACACUCAUUAAUAUUUACAUGUGCUAUGUUUGUUUGUUAAUUAUAGGGACUUCUACAGGAUGUGGCAGACCUACUCCCCCAUGUUGAGCAUAGACAAUGUGCUAGACACAUCUUUGCAAACUUUAGGAAGAAACACACAAGAUUAGAGCUAAAGAAUUUGUUUUGGGAGGCUGCUAUGAGCACAGUGGAAGGGGACUUUCUUGCUACAAUGGAUAAGAUACAGAAGAUUACAGAAAUAGGAUACAAUUAUCUUAUGGCAAGGAAACCUGAAACUUGGUGCAGAGCAUUCUUUUCUCAUGGAUAUGCUUAUGAAGCAGUAGAGAAUGGGGUGGAAGAAUGCUUCAAUGGCAUGCUCAAAGAAAUAAAGAAGAAGCCUCUACUCACAAUGGCAUGGUCAAGCAAAGGAGGAUGUGUCUCUAACCUGUGAUGAGGAUUUUGAUGAUCUUUUUACCCAUACACCUAAUGGUAAACAAUCUAUGAUUCAAGAAAAAGAGGAUAUUCAGGAACAAGAGAAUGGCAAUGAGGUGAAGGUGAAUGAAAGACAUACUUUAAAGGAGUUGUUGUUGUCUAGAUAUACACAUGUUGAUGCAGUGGCUGCUAUGAAAGAGGUAUGUGUUGUUACACUAUUUUUGGCUUCCAUAUUGUAGCUUUACUAACUAACCUGCCAUAUUGUAGGUUUAUGGAGAAGUUGAGGAAAAAGAGAUUAAAGAAAGAGAGGCUGAGGAAGAAGAAGUUGAAGAGAGAUAGAGAGAAAGAGAAUGAGAGAGAGAGAGAGAGAGGUUGAGGAAAAAAAAGAUUGAAAGCAAAAAGGCUGAGGAAGAAGAAGUUGAAGAGAGAUAGAGAGAAAGAGAAUGAGAGAGAGAGAGAGAGAGGGUGAGGAAAAUGAAGAUUGAAAGCAAAAAGGCUGAGGAAGAAGAAGUUGAAGAGAGAGAGAGAGAGAGAGGUUGAGGAAAAAAAGAUUGAAGGCAAAAAGGCUGAGGAAUAAGAAGUUGAAGAGAGAGAGAGAGAGAGAGAGAGAGAGAGGUUGAAGAACAAGAUAUUGAAGAAAGAGAGGUUGAAGAAGAAGAAGUUCAAGGCAGAGAGGUUGAGGAAGAAGAAGUUGAAGGCAGAGUGGUUGAGGAAAAAGGAGUGGAAGAGAGAGAGGUUGGAGCAAGAGUGAUACCCUUGGGUCAUGGUUCUUAUAAUUUCCAUUGGGAGAAAAAGAGAAAACCCUCUGAAAGAAUUAGGAACCUGAAGCUCAGGAAAAUGAUUGAAGAUGUUGAUGGUGGUGGUUCUUCCAAAACCCCUUGUGUUUUAGAUUAAGAAUGGGCAUUAGUAAAUAGGUUGCCCUUUUUGUAAACUUCUAAUUUUGGUACACUUGUCUUUUGGUAACAAGCUUCCAAUUCAUGUCCAUAAUGUUUGGUAGAAUUGGAAGUUUGGUUCUAAUUAGGUUACACGGUAUGGUAGUGGUUUAUGGGAAGCUUCGUAAAGUACAUUCCCCUUGUUGGGUUGUUAACUGACAUUGAUGUAUGGGAAGCUUUGUAAACGACAUGAUAUGACUGUUAAGUUAUCAAUAUAUAUGCCUUGAUCACUAUAUUUUUUGUUACCUUCCACGUUUUGGUUAGCUUGGUAAGUAGGUUAAUACAUAUAUAUGUGUUAAAGGACUUAAUUGUAAUUGUUGUCACCUUCCAUGAUUUGGUUAUUUUUAUACAUAUAUAUGUGUUAAAGGACUUAAUACAUUGUUAUCAUUAAGACAUAAUAAGUUGUUGUUAUUGUCAUCUCUUACAAAACCAAAAUAUUACCAUACAUAACAUAUGCAUCUACUUACUGCCUAACUUGACUAAAAUACCCUUCCACCUAAACUACUACUACUACCAUUCUACUUGAACCUAAAUAAUGCCCACAACUUCAUAAUGCUUUAACCACAACAUUGUGAGCCAUAAACCCCAUCACAAUCACCACCACCAAAAGUAUGACCAUCAUAACUAGCUCCACCUUCAACAAGUUUAAAAUAUCCACUUGAACUGCUUUGUUGUUCUUGGCCUCCUCUGAAAGCUUCAAAUCUCCAUUCCAAAUGCUUUAUUGUUCUUAGCCUCCUCCAAAUCCAUAUGGAACCUCCACAUAGUUUCCUUGUAGUAAGUGUUUGGCAGGGGUGGAUCAAGCCAUAAAAAAAAUUAGCAUUUUUUUGGAGUCCUGUACAGCAACCACUUCUUCAUACUGGUUCAACAACACCACAAAAAGUAGGAAAGUUAAUAUUACCUGAUAGUUUGGACACCCCCUAAAUUUCCUCCAUGGAUUAUCGACUGUUUUGGAGAUCGAGAAUGUCACAGGUUCAUCACAUUCGCAUCUCAAAUCUUCAGACCAAUGAUUCCUUAAGGCCCAAUCUCUGUACCCUUGUGUGUGCAUGUUGGAGGAGCUUACCAUCUUUUUGGUUUGAUGUUGGAGAGACGAAUCGACCCAAAACCUAGCUAACAACUACCUCCAACGUUCGACUAAGCUAUGCAACCUGCCGAAACCGGUGAAACCGGUAUUGUACCAUUUUGCCAUAAUUCCAUGAAAAUAUCGUGGUCACAGUAAAUGAAAAAUUAAAUUAAGGGCUUUUUCAAAUUUAGUGCAAAAAACAUGGGACUUUAUUGAUAUUAGUCCAUGGUGAUUAGAGGUUUUUUUUAAGGGAUAUGUGUGUUCCAAAUAUAAUCAUUAAGAUGUCUUAAUGAUGCAACACAAAUAAGUUAAAUUAUAUGUAGAUAUUAGAACAUUUAAAGAAUUCGAACAAUGUUAGAUUGAGAUGCAAGAGUAAAGUUUUUCAGAAAGAAAAUGACAUUCUGAUAAGAACUCAAGACUUUGCCUGAGCCCAUCAAAUAUUAGACGAAUUCUUCCAUCUUACAAUUUAUUAGUUUUUUCGAGAUUUUUUUGGUUAUUUUAGGUACUCGACAUUUUCGAAAUAUUUUAAUGUUUUACAAUUUAAGUGCUUGUGUGCUGUUUUUUUGAAGGAUAGUUUUUUAGAAUAAUUAAAAUUGAAGUUUCCUCAAGUCUAUCAAUCUUUGCUUUGGCAUUUUGCGAAAUCAAAGAAUUUUAAGUAUUAUCUUCAUGUUUGUCCAUACACACUGCGUCAAUGAAUAACUCUAUUUUUUAUUAAAAUUUUAUUAAAAGAUACUAUAUUUAUAGACAAAGUAAAUCUCAAUAUGUUAAAAUAAACAGGGUUGGUUAGCUGAUUUUAAAGGGUGGUUAGUUGAUUUUAAAGGGCUUGUGUGAAAAAUAAAAAUACUCUUAAAUAUAAUUUUUUAUAUAAAUAAAGACCAUUGAUAAAUUGAGUAUAAAAUUAAUCAAAACAAAAAUUAUCACAAUAAAAUAGGAUCUGCAAUAUACAUUUGCUUUUGUCAUCGAAUUAAACAUCUUGGAAAAAGCGAAUUCCUACAUCCCGCAUCCGCUUGAUGCCGUUUAAAAAAUAUCCGCUUGAUAAAUUAUAAAUAAUAAAAUAAGGAGACCAGAAAGAACUUAAAAUAUAAUUUUGGUGGAUAAUAUCUUUAAUACAAUAUCAUGCUUCUUAAUCAAUCCAUACGAAAUAUGUAUUUCCGAAAGGGCAACUCAGUUCCGACUGAGUCAACCCAACUAAAAUUGUUUGUCUUUUUUUUUAGUUCACAUAGAAUUGAAUAUACAAUAUUAUUUUCAAAUCUUUUAACUCCAUUAAUUUAUUAAUUUUAAAUUUGCCAAUUUUAUUCUUUUGUAGACACAAUUUAAAACUACAUAUGUAUUAUAUAAUAAAUUAUUUGAUACAUAACCAAACUCAUAAAGUUAAUAUUUUCAAACUGCAAUCGAUACUUUAGAAAUAUAAAAGCAUGCACCCAACACAAACAUAUAAAACCAUAUAUAAAGCAUACAACCAAAGCAUAUAUAUAAAACCAUAUUCCACAAAGAUGAGAAAUCGUGCAUAAAAAAUCAAUAUUGUUCAUCUCAUUCGCAUUUGAUACAUUUAGUUUCGUCGGGCCGGAUACGGUGGAGCUUCUUAUUAGAAUACAACGGGUCAUGCAUAUGAAUAUUAUAUCCCCUAAAUCUAUAAAUGUAGUCUUCAAAAUAAUUGGUUUUAUCAUAUAAAAAGAUUUAACGGCGUUACUUGUUACAUGUUUGCAUUCUCACUCCUUGUAUUUUGAAAUUUUAAUGUUCAAGAACAAGGACAAAUCUAUGGAUUUCUUGCAACAAACUAAAAACCCAAGAAAAAGGAGUGUAUGAUAACUUCUUUGAGAGAGUUGAUUUCUUCUUUCUUGGAUGAUGGAGAGCGCAAAUUAGAAUUUCGAUAAUGUGGUAAUUGAUUUUAAUAAGUAAAUAAUGGCCAAAGUAAAACAAAAUCAAAUUAUCAAAGAUUUUUCUUAUUUAUAAAAAAAAAAAAAAAAAAAAAAAAAAAAAAAAAAAAAAAAAAACACUUAAGAUAAAAAUUGAAUGAUGUAAAUUUGCCCUAAACCAAUUUUGCUAAUAAACUAUAGGGGUGUUCGCGGUGCGGUUUGGUACGGUUUAGAGUUGAAACCGCAAACCGCACCACAAAAGCUCUAAACCGCAUUAUGCGGUAUGGUUUCAUGCGGGCGGUUUAUGCGUUUUGAUAAGUUGUUUCAAUUUAUAACUUUGGUUGUUAUUAGUUACAUUUAAACACUGCCAAAAUUUAUUAAUUAUAUUGCAUACCAUUUAAAAUGCAUAGAUAUUGCAAACAAAAAAACCACAUAAUGUUCUGCUAAGUUGUUAUGACUUAUGAAAUUUGAUAUCCUAGUCUUUUAAGUCAUUAAUUAUCAUAUUUAACCAUUGUGAUAUAAAAUAAAGUUAUUGGACAGUAUGAAGUAUUUGGUGAUUGGAAACUUUGAUAUAUAUAUAUAUAUAUAUAUGCUAAUACGACAUGGUGCAGUUUGAACCGCGAUUUGGUAACUAUAAACUGCAAACCAAACCGCAUAGUGCGGUUUGACAAGAUUACGAACCGCAAACCGCAUCGCAAAAAUCUAAACCGCAUUAUGCGGUGCGGUUUAGUGCGGUGUGGGCGGUUUGUGCGAUUUAUGCAUUAACCGUCUCUAAUAAAACUAGGAUAUUAAAUAAACUGACCAUUAUAAAUGAAUUUUAUAAAUCAUAUAAUUCUAGAUUUGAUCUUCAAAUUUCAAAAUUCUUUUUUGUUUUUUUCCAAAAAAAUCUGUGUGUUUAUGUGUGAAAUGUUUAAUGUCAACAUUUUUCUAUCAAAUGAUUGGUUUAAUACUCUAAUAUCAUAUAUAUUAUAUAGUUUACAUUUACCAUGUUUGUUUAUCUUUUUAUUAUAUUUGAAAUGAUUGGUUUAAUACUCUAAUAUCAUAUAUAUUAUAUAGUUUACAUUUACUAUGUUUGUUUAUCUUUUUAUUAUAUUUAAGUAAAAAGUAAUUUUUUUUUUCAAAACUCCAGAAUUAUUUAUUAGUUUCGAACUUGUUUUUGAAACUGCGGGUCCGAAAUUCCAAAAUGUAUUUUUUUUCAAAAAAAAUAUUUUUUUAGUCCAGAAUGCUCAUUCCUUAGUCCUUGACUAAGUGACUAUUUUUGCCAAAAACAAAUUUUUUUUUAUUUUCUUCAAAUACACUAUGGUUAGAUUACUCAAUUUCCCAAUGAAAAAAAGACUUCCUCGGGUUAAUAACCCGACCCAUAGCCUAAUAAUCAGUCGUACUUUUCUUAACCAUAACCGGACUCUAUAUAACAAGGAUUUUUAAGAGGCCCAGGCCCAAUACAUAUAAAUGUUCAAAAUGUUAAUUACCAUCUUCCCAACACAAAUAGCCACUUAAAAUGUUGAUGAAUGCCUUUUUCUAACAAAAAAAUUCCAUCAAAUACUCUUUAAAAUCAUCAAAAUCCCCAUAUUCCAAACAUUUGAUAGAAAUGUUAUACACAAAAUGAACCAAACUCCAGUCAUCUAACUAACCUUUUUCCUCAUCAAUAAUCUCACUCACUAUUUUCAUCAUCAAGAAUCUGAAGAAACCCCAAAGCUGAAGAACCCAGAUGCAUUCCUCUAACAAUUCCACCAUAAUCACUCUUAAUCUUAUGGCAUAGAACCAAAACAGAGUCCCAAAGUGCUGUUCUUCCCUGCAAUUCAAACUCAACAAACUCAGCUUCUUACAAUCAUUCCAAAAUUCAAAUCCCAUUACUUUUAUUUCACAUACCUCAAAAGAGAGCUGUGGCUUUUUAUCCCAAUACAAUGCGAAAAUUGGAGGGCUUUUUUUGUCAAAAGCCAAUACACAACCUCCAGGAUGGAGCACAGAGGGUACCCCACAAAUCACCCCCAAAUACUUCUCAGGAAACCGUUCUUUUGACGGAAGUACCCCUAUAAAUAAAGGGUUUCUACUAGAUUGUGAUCCCACAUGUGAUGUGGGGUCCACGUGAAGCAUCCAUUUCGGGUGUUCCAAAAAAGCACAAAAUAGAUACAACAGUAAAUGAGAGUCACUAGGAACUUCACUCCAUUUUUUCUUAUUAAACUUCUCUCCAUUUGUUAUAUACUCAUAGUUCUUAACACACGUUCCUACACCAAGCUCUGCAAAAUAUCAACACAUAAAGAAUCUAUUUUUAAUAUUAUUUCGAUUAUAAAAAGCUAUCAAGAUUCAAGAAAAAAAGAAAUACUCAAAUACCUCGGAUUCUUUGUACAGUAUAAUCCGCCCGUAUACUGGUCUGAGGUAACAACCCCUUUGCCCAUUCCCCUUUCAUCAAAGCAAGAAGCUUUUGGUGUUCUGAUAUGGCAUCUAUACAAUCUUGUAUAACAGGGAUUGAAGUGUUCUGUAUUUGUUGUAGAAGAGUAGUGCGUAAUUGACCAAUAAGCCCUUCCUCAUCAAGGGUAUAUGCAGGCUGCCAUUCGUUGUUUCUUUCAUUUGAAACAGUUGCAGUAGCUCCUGUUGAUGAAUCACUUCCAAUUUUGCUAACUGUGAUUGUAAUACCGAUUUUAGCAGCAGCCUCCAUGACUUUUAUGUGACUGGUUUCGAUUUUUGCAAGAAGGGGAUUUAAGAGAACUGAAGAGAACCAUUGUCUUAAAUGGUCACGCCACUCUUCAAUCUGUGGGUAGAUGCCUAGGCGGGCAAAAGCGUCAAUUGACUCUUCCAUGGACAUGGGUGGAGGGAGGUCACCUUCACCUUUCUUUGGUGGGGUACUGAACUUUUGAGAACCAGGGGACAUGCGUACAGGUCUUAAAGGUGUGCUUCUUGUUGUGCUAUUGGAAUUAGGGCUAGAUAUAUUGAAUCCAGUUGUUGUGGGGGGUGGGGUGGUCAUUUUACCAGCUGACAUGGAGAAUUUUUCAUCAAAAUCUGCUAAGAAUGAUUCAAGUUGUUGUUCUGUUGAUAUUUCUCUGGUGGAAGAUGAUCGUUUGCUUGACCAUGGAGUGGAAACGUGUUGUUCAAUGCCAGGUGGCGUCUUCAUGUUUGGUGAUUGUGAGGGGAUGAGAUAGACUGAUGGUGAAACUGGUGGUUUAGAUGGAGUGCUGAAGGAAUGCAUCUUGUUUGCACUACUAGUGGUUGAUUUGUCAUUGUUUAUACGAGUUUGGUGAAGGGGGACAAGUGUGUUGAAAGGUGAUGUGUUAGGUUUAGAUUUGGGUGGAUCUUUUGAUGAUUUUGAUUCAGUCUGCUCAAACUGUGGCUUGAUUCCCAUCAGUUUUAGUUGCUGGCUAGUCAGAUUUAGCUGCUCUUUGGUGGGAUUAGAUGGAGAUGAAGGUGUAGCAGGUUUUGUUUUCCAUAAGGAGAUGGCUUUGAGAAGGGCAAAUAAGGAUCCAAUCAAAACCAGAGUCAUGAUAGCUUGCAUUACUUUUAGAAAGAUAUCUGUGCACAAACAGAAGAGAUUUAAGGGGAUAACACUUGGAAAGUUAGGAAGAAUUUAACAACAUGAAAUCGAAAUGAAUGAUAUUACUCACGAGCAACAUCUUGUGUGAGAUAUCUGAGCUUGGAACUGUCGACGAUGUCGUUUUCCCUUGAAUAGAACAGAGUAAAUAAUUUUGUUAGUCGCUCAUAGCAAAGAUGUAAGUGUUUCAGUAUUCAGAUCAUUUUUUACAAUAGAUAGAAACAAAACAACCAUUUGUUUAAACAAUGUUCACCUGAAUCCAACUUUUAAAAUUACAAUCUACGCAUCAAUUUAGAUGUACUAACAAUUCUCUAUAGAAACAAGCAUAUACAAAAAACACAUAUACCGACAAAUAAAUGAUUCAUUCAAAUACAAGUAUACGAAAUGCCAGAAACAGACUAUAAACGCAAUAUUUGUUAUAUCGAAUGCAAGCAGGAAAGAGACAUGGAACUUAUUGAAAUAGUGGAGAGAGCGAUGGAGAUAGAACUGGGGAUAUGUAUGGUACCUGAGGACGAAGGAGACCAGAGAGAAAGCAGAAGCGGAUGCGAGAGUGAGAAUGAAGAGGAAAGUAGACUUGGAGGGGCGGAGACUGUUUUUGGUUAGGGCGGCGGAGAGAGCUGGGUUCUGAUACACCGCGAACUUUGUAACGGGAUUAGAUGUGUCUUUUCUUCCUCCUCCCUCCAUAGGUAGAAGACUUCCUGUUAAUUUGCGAUUUGGUGCGAUAGGGUUUCUACUAUUCCGCCAUUGAUGAAAGCUUCGAGGUUCAAAUAGGGUGCUGCGAUGCAAACGUUUUAAAUUUGGGUUAAGCAAGUAUCAACUAGCAACAUCUCCGCAAACCCCAAGAAAACAACGGUACUUUUUUUUCUUCCUGAUGGUAAGAUUUUUGAUACAAGAGAUAAUAUUUAAGGGUUUUUGUUAUAGUGACUUAUCUAAUUUUUAUUUUAUGUUUUAAAAAUAUCAAUAUUGUUUUUUUUGGUUUUUAUGGAUCCUCAAACUCGAAAAUUACUUGUCUCUUAUACCUUUUACCCUAAAAUUUACACACAAUUGCUGGUUAUCCAUUAAGUUACUGCAUAGGUGGACAAUGUUGUCCACGUAGAUACACAGUUGGCAAGUGACAGAUCGGCUUCAUUAAUACGCUAUUUAGAGUGCCCUAGAUGAAGACAAGAUAUUCAAGAUCAUUUUCAGUUUAUAACAUUUACUUUUCAGGUCACGAAUCCUUAAGAAUCGAUUAGCUUCUCCUUCGAUGGCAUACUCAUCUAGAUCAUCAUCUGAUAACCACAUUGUUAUCGCUGCUAGGAAUCCUGACAACGACCUGUGCGUUUGUCGUCAUCCAAAGUUAAGCGUAGAAAUGAUGUCGAUGUCAGAUAAGAAUCCAGCUCGUAGAUUUCGCAACUGCGUUGACUCUUUGGUAAGCAUCAUCUUCUUUAAAUCUGUUGUCAAGAUUGUGGAAUUAGGGUUUAGCAAACAAUGGGGAUAAUUUUGAGUUUAGGGUUUACUGUUCUCGAUUAAGUGGAUAGUGGAACAAGCAUCUGGUGUGUGUGACUGAAUAUUUCGUUGGUAUGUUUGUUUGUAGGUGGAGAUGGCAGCUGAGAAGUGUAAAUACUUCAAGUGGAUCGAUGAUGAGCCGACACCACACUACAAGAAUGCUUUCAACAAUCUCAAGUAUGAGUUGAAACUAAUGAAAGACACUAGUUACGCUGCAAGACUAAAGAGAAUGGUAGCUUUGCUGGAGAACCUGAAUGUUGAAGCCAUUGCUGCUAAAAAAAUUGUUGAUGGUGAGCUAGUCAUGGUUGUUGAAGAAAAGAAACAACUGAGGGGUGAGUUGAAGUUCAUGAGGUUGAAGUUCAAGAUUGCUAUGAUAUUUCUUGUGCUUCUUGUUGUUGUGUUGAUGAUGCAGAAAGCAAAGGUGGUGGGAUAGAUAUGGUUGGGGCUAAGCGAUUGGGUGUAGUUAAUGGUUUUUGGUGGUAUAAAUGCUCUCCUUUUUUGUAAACUUGGGGUUUGGGAUAUGAAGAUCUUCUAUGGUUUUUGGUGGGUAGGAUACAGAUUAGUAUAUGUAUAGAUGUAAAUGCCCUUGUAUGGUAAAUGCCCCUGUAAUUUAAUCAACUUUUGUAUGCCCCAUGUACUUUUGUAUCUAAUGGAAACAUGCAUCUUUAUUUUACUAUAAUUUUGUUCCAUUGAUUGGUCUUGUUAAGUGCAAUUGAAUACUGAUAAAAGGCAUUGGUUAUUGUGGACCAAAACAAUUGAAUAUAAUACAUAUCACAUGGGUACAACAAACAAGUGAAAGUGAUUGAGUUUGUGGACCAAUACAGGUAAAAGACAUUGGGUAAAAUGAGGACCACACAUGGGAUCCACAUCCGGAUUAAAAUGACAACAUUUUGGGAGGAGUGUACAUUUGUGGACCCUUCAACUACAGAUUCCUGUAUAAGGUAAGAUGUCAAUAUUUGAGAUUUACAAAUUUGUUUUGCUAAAAUGACAACAUCAUUUCAAUAUACCUGUGUAGUCUUGGUUAUCUUUGGUCUUUUCACCCUGAGCUUAACUGGAUUAUUUGUUGUGGGGCAAGUAACCUUGGUGUGGCCAGGCAUAUGACAAGCACUACACAUAAUGGGUUUACCCUUUUUUGAUACCUUAUGCUUCCCUAUUUUCUCCGUCACAUCUCUCUUCCUUUUUGUUGCAGGUCUUCCAGGCAUCCUUCUUCUUUGGGGAGGUAAGGGUGGGGUGAAUGAUGUCUCUGGCCACAUGUUACUACCAUUCAUAGGCAAGAUAUUGUUCAAGUAUGUUAUAUUGUAGUUUGCUUUGUAGAAAAUAGGAUCCAUAUAUGUGUCCACAUCCCUAUUCAGAAAUAAGAUUGUAGCAACUGAAUGGGCACACCCAUAUCCAUUUAGUUGCCAUAACCUACAAGAGCAUGUCCUGUUGUCAAGAUCCACAUCAUAAUCUUGACCUUUAUUUCUUGUCUCAAACUUGUUUAGUCCACUUGGGAGCACUUUCCAGUACCUAGCUUCAAUCUUUAAACCAUUUAGUAACUGCCUUAUUGCAGGUGUUACAUCCUUUGUCCAUUUCCUAUGUUUUAAGCUAAACAUCCUCUCCAUGAUAUAUAACCUCAACUCCUCCAACAUAGUGAUUAUUGGUUUCCUUCUGGCCUCAACAAUUACUGCAUUAAAGCUCUUAGAAAUACCAUUUUCCACUGCAGCACAUGCCCUCCUGCCUCAUAAAAUGCUCUUCACCAGGUCUUUGGUUCCUUCUCCAUCGAGUACUUAUGGGCUUCCGGACUUAACCUUUAAAUUUUUUGCAUGAAUUCAUUGAAAGAUUGUGGUGUUGUUGCAUUACAAGCCUUCCAAAAAAAGGUUCUCAAAAAUAGCCCCUGCAAACAUCUUCUUAAAAUUUGCAACAAUGUGCCUUGCACAUUGUCGAUGCUCAACACAAGGAAACACAUCCUUAACUGCCUCCAUAAGAACCUUGUGUUGGUCAGACAUUAAGGUAAAUCCAGUGCCCAUACCUAGUUCAAGAUCAUAUCUGAGCAGCUCCAUAAACCACAUCUAGUUAUCCUUAUUCUCAACACACACUAUUGCCCAUGCAACUGGAAAUAUGUGGUUGUUAGCAUCUCUACCCACAGCACACAAUAAUUACCCAUUGCAUACACCCUUAAAGAAACAUCCAUCCAUACCUAACACCUUUCUACAACCUUCUAACCAACCAGAUUUCACAUUAGCAAAACAUACGUAGAACUCACUGAAGUAAAUCAAAGCAUCAGGCAUGAAUUGGACAUCCAUUUUGACUGUUGAACCUGGAUUGCUUCUUCUAAUUUCCUCCCCAUAAGACCACAAUUUUGCAUAAUGCUCAAAAAGAGUCCCCUCGAUAAGAUUCAUGGCAUGUGCCUCUGCUCUUCUGCAUUGACUUAAACUAGCUUGUAUUCCAAACUUCCUGAUGACCUCCAAUCUCAAUUGUCUAAUUGUUAACUUCUGUCUAUGCAAAAUUUCAUUUGUAUAAUGCUCUCCUAUCCAAGAGUAUGUGACAAUUGAUCCUAGUUUGUAGUUUCUAGCACAAUUAUGCUCAAUCUUCGAUGACUUGAUUUGAAAUGACACCUCCUGCCUCAUCCAUGUAGCCCAUAACCUGAAUGGGCAAGCUCCUUUGCAACACACCACCAACAACCUUUUACUAUCAUUCUUCUUGAAGCAUAGUUGGUAUCCAUUUGCCACAGCAUAGUUACAUAACAUAUUUUUCAGCUGCUUUGGACUUUCAAAUUUCAUCCCAAGAACAAGUACUUGCCUCUUCAAUUGCAUAUCAGGGUUGAAAAUGGAAAGGAUCUCAACAUCUUCUUCUUCAACUUCAUUGUCACCAGUAUCACCUUCUGGAGGACAUAACUUACUAAGAAACUUAUCCCCAGACGUCUUGUUCAAAGGUACUUUGUCAAUGUCAAUUACUUCAUCUUCAAGACCUACAUUGGGAUGAGUUUCAUCAAGGGCAGUGUUUUCUUCUUUUCUAGGUACACCAUCAUCUUCAAGGCCACUUUCAUUAUCUUCACUAACAACCAGAUUCAUGUCAUCAUCCCACCAUUCCUCCAACCCAUUCCCAUUAUGAUCAACAUAAACUAAAAUUUCCUCGUAUUCAUACCCGCUAUCUAUAAACCGGACAAAAUCCAAAUCAUCUACAAUGGGACGAAUCCGUCUAGAUAAAGGGAUGUUAGGUAAGCAGUAGUAGACGUUUUGAAACUCUUCCCCGAUAGCUCUAUCGAUAAAAUCAAAAAAUUCCCUUACAUCCAUACCUGCCCAAUCAACAUCAGCGAAGAGGAACUUAUUCCCACCAACAUACCCAGAAGGAUGUCGAACAAAUACACCAUUCUAGUGUAGAUGAACUCUCAGAUAUACAAGUACGUUAUCGUUCUCAGCCAUGCAACAGUGAAACAAUAUUCAAAGAGUAAAAUACCUUCGACAGUAGCAGUGUAAUCUCAGUAGUGGAUACGAUGGUAGCAGUGUAAUCUCAGUAGUGGAUACGAUGGUUAAAAACCCUAGUUCAAAUCUUCAUUCCUCUUCUUAUAAAACGACUAUGGAAAAUGAAUUAAGAUUAUUUACAAGUUUUUUCCACUGUGGAAUUACACAUUUGGCAAAAUUACUAAUUGACCACCUAAGUCAACGACCACAUCAACUUUUUAACCAGCUAAAUAAAUUACGAAAUCAAUAAGGGUAUAAGAGACAGGUAAUUUUCGUGUUUGAGGGUCCAUAAAGACCAAAAAAACAAUAUUGGUCUUUUAAAACCAGAAGUAAAAGUUAGAUGGGUUUCUAUGACAAAAAACCAUGUUUAAAAGGGUAAUUUAUUUAUUGUUUUAUACAUAUUUGGUCAUUAAUUUUUUCUCGUUCAUAUUUUUCCAUUAAAUUUGUUAUAUUGUAUACACUCCGUCCUUAUGACCGGUUGUUGAGGGUUUGGCCGGUUUCUAGUGUUCUUUGCACCUCCAGCGAAUUUUCGGUUGUCUUCUCUAGGCAAACAUGGAUUUUUCAACAAAGGUUUUAAGAUUUUAAAUUUGCAUGAGAAGUAUGGCAUUCAAUGAGUUCAGUUUUUGAUAUGCUAUUGUUCUGUGGUGAAGAAACAAAAAUCUCUAAAACGAAAUUUCAAGAUCUAGGUUCAAACCCCGUUAUGGAAACCCUCAAGUUCGUGUUCAAACAGAUCGAAGGUAUGUUUAUAUGUGUUCAUCGUGUGUGUAUGUAUUCAUCUUCUUCUGUGCUCGAAAUUAAAAACCACUAAAUCUAUUUCAACCUCUGAAAGUGAACUCGGAAUCUUGGGUUUUAGGUGGGUUUUGUUUAAUCAAUUUCUGAAAAAAUAACUUACCCAUAGGUCUGAGUUUGUGAGAUUUGUGAGCAUGUUUGGAAAGAAUUUGACUUUCAGUUGUAACAUCCUGAUGUCAAGUAAUUUCAAUUUCAACCAUAUGUUUGAAUAAUAUUGUGUUAUGACCCUUAGGUUUGAGGACGGUUGCUAGAUUGGUCCAAAGUGGCAAUAUAGUAAUUUUGACUAGGCUUUGUACGCCGAGCAUACGUUGUGUACGCUAUGCGUACUAAAGCACGCUACGCUAGUACAUUGGGCGUAUAACUUGUACGCGAGGCGUACGUGAAGAAAGUGCAAACCCUAAUUUUUAGGGUUUGGUCCAUAUAUAAACACCAUUAUAGCCUCACUUCUCAUUACUUCAUCAGCCUCCCUUUGUGAUAAACGACCCUAAACCAACCCUAAGUGUGAAAAGUGUAUUUUGAUCCCAUUGGAGUGUUUUAGAGGUGUUCUUGAAGAAGAAGAAGAACAUUGUGACAAGAGCUUGGAGCUUAAAAGCAUCUUGGAUCUGAGAUUACCUUCUUGUUAGCAACCUCCAGGAGGUAUAAAUUUCACAACUUAAUCACUCCAUCUUGGUAACAUCCCAAAAAUUUUGUUUUAAUUAAGUUAUUAUAAAACCAACAGUAUAAGAAAACAUCCAUAAUAGCAUAUCAUGUCAAAACCAGUACGUCAAUAAUCAAGACAUGUCGUCAUAAAAUCAUAUCAGAGUAUAAUCCCAAAGAUCUCUUGUGCGGAAAACAUAGUGUGAUGCGCUGUGAUCAAGCCGACUCCUUUCCUUUGAAAAUGAAGUACCUGAAACCAAAACCGAAAACCGUAAGCACGAAGCUUAGUGAGUUCCCCCAUCGUACCACAUACCAUACAUUCACAUAACAUACAUAUACUGUCAGGCAUAUCUGGGUUCCCGACCUGCCCCUUCGGUCCUCUCAACCGGAUAUUGCCUAGCAUACAUGGGUGCUAGCCUCCCCUUCGGUCCUCUCGACCGAAUACUAACUAGCAUAUAUGGGUGCUAGCCUCCCCUUCGGUCCUCUCGACCGGAUACUGACUAGCAUAUAUGGGUGCUAGUCUCCCAUUCGGUUCUCUCGACCGGAUACUAGGGACUAUUUCACCCCUACCACUACCACAUAAAACCCCAACAUAUAAACAUAAAUCACAUACUGCCUAGCAUAUCUGGGUGUUGGCCUACCCCUUCGGUCCUGUCGACCGAUAAAUGGGGGCUAUUUCACCCCCUACUACUACCACAUAAUAUCAUAUCACAUAUAUCAUAAUCUGGCUAGCAUGGUUGGGUACUAAACUACCCCUUCGGUCCUAUCGACCGGUAAUCGAGGACUAUUUCACCCCUACUACCACUAUCACAUAACAUCAUAACAUACUAGCACAUAAACAUAUCAAGUAGUAGCAAACCUAGAUGAAUACCACAAAGACAAUUAUCUAACAUAUAACUCCUACUGGUGGGCCGGCAUUGCGGCCGUAGACCCACCGCUACUGGAAGGUAACUCACCUAACACUGCUGAAGUCCGAGGCCCAAUCCAAAGGCCCAAAAGUCCAAUUAUGGCUCAAAGCCCAACAUAUGGCCCAAUUUUCCAAAUUGGGCCCACGCCUAUACAUGGUCUUAUUCUACGGCCCAACACCAUAUAAUCAUUAAGGCCCAAACUAUGGCCUAAUUUUCUAAAUUGGGCCCAACCCCUUACAUGGGCCUUACCCUAGGCCCAUUAAAUUAUUUUAGUCCAUAUGGUUAUUCUUGGAUGGCCCAUUAAUAAUCCAAUCAUCAAGGCCCAACAAUAAACCCAAGUGAAGUCAGGGUUUCACAGAAAAUGUCGAUUAGGGUUAAGUUUCCUACUCAACCCAUUAACGACUUAAUCCACUAAGGACUUAAUCCAUUAAGUCCAAUAUUGCUUAGAUUAAUUUCUGCCAAUUAUUAUUAUUUAAUAUUUAAAUUUAUUAAAUAAUUCUCGUAUGUGUCCCAAACAAUUCCCACAAUUAAGGUUUUACGCCCUUAGGGUUUUCCAACCUAAUACUAGCCCAUUAGUCCAUUGGUUGGGCUUUCAGGUCCCUNCCAUUAGGGUUUCAUUGAUUCCACAUUGUCCAAACAUCCCCCUAACGAGGUCCAAACGCAAUCAAGCACACCGCCACCUGACACGACGGCUGGUGGCGGCACGAGGCGGCAACCACCACCUAACGGCGGUGGUUUAAUUUUUCCGUUCAUUAUUCCAGUUUUUACAAUUACAAUGAACUCAUGAAAUAAACAUACACACACACACACUAUACUAAAUAAACAUACACGCGCAACCACCCUUGUGGUGGCCGGCGGUGGCACGCGGUGGCAGUGGCUAUUCCCGACUUUCCGGCUAGACAAAACGUACACAACACCCACAUAAAAGCAAAAUCAUACACCCACACAACUCAUAGCCACCUCCCACGAUGGCUGAUGGUGAAGAGCCAAGGCAGCGACGGAAAAAAGUAGAAGACCUAGCGGUAGGUGGUGGUAUUUGCGAUGACAACCACCAUGGCUGGCUGUCAUGGUGGUUCUCCAUGGCUUUUACUCGACAGAGGCCCAAACCUACGAACACAACACCUCGGGGUGGAAAACGAUGACCGGAGCGACAUACUUGAGCCAUACGGAGGUCGCGAUUGAGAAAUAGCACCAUGAGAAUGAUGAGGAGGAUGAAUGGAGGCCAUCGUGGACCGAAGCAACGUUAACCGCCGGCUAGCAGCGCUUUCGUCUUCAACUGAUGGAGCGUAACGGUGGCCCUUUAGUUUAAGUUUUACCCUUUUUCUUCAAGAUAUCAGAUAGUGAGAGAAAUANNNNNNNNNNNNNNNNNNNNNNNNNNNNNNNNNNNNNNNNNNNNNNNNNNNNNNNNNNNNNNNNNNNNNNNNNNNNNNNNNNNNNNNNNNNNNNNNNNNNNNNNNNNNNNNNNNNNNNNNNNNNNNNNNNNNNNNNNNNNNNNNNNNNNNNNNNNNNNNNNNNNNNNNNNNNNNNNNNNNNNNNNNNNNNNNNNNNNNNNNNNNNNNNNNNNNNNNNNNNNNNNNNNNNNNNNNNNNNNNNNNNNNNNNNNNNNNNNNNNNNNNNNNNNNNNNNNNACUAAGCCAUCUUCAUCAACAGCUCCGGGGAUGUACCUGUCUAAUGCUGACCUGAGAAUACAAGUUAUUUGAAAAGCGAGUAUCAGCAUUUUUACAAAUGCUGGUGAGUUCAUAAGCAUUUAGUGUCAUUUAGUCAAAUAACGUUAUGAAGUAAUAGUUUAAGUGUUUACAGUGCAUUAGAGUUCUUUCCAGAAAAUCCUAUAUUUUCUUUAAUAAAAGCAACCUUCUACCAAGACUGGUCAGUGUUAUGUGGUAAAAAGUAGUUUUCCCUAAGUUGCUAUCAUUAUCAAAGUACUGGAUUUGAUUAUUGAGGAAAGCAAACGACAUCAGGGAAUAUCAUAUGCCUCAGCAGUGAGGACUGCUGACUAAGGCCAGAAACCAUAGACUCCAGGAAAGUAUCAAACGAACGACACGCCUGGUUCAGUCUAACAAGUGGAGACACAGACCCCAGAAGGUACCAAAUGAAAGGUACAACUAGUAAGGUCUAACACAGUGAAUACAGACCGCAGACGAUAUUAAAUGAAAGAUAUGUCUAGCAAGGUCUAAAACAGUGAACACAGUGAAUACAGUGAAUACAGACCCCAGACAACAUCAAAUGAAAGAUACGUCUUGUAAGGUCAAAACAGAGGAGACAAACCCUAGACAAUAUCAAAUGAAAGAUACGUCUUGUAAGGUCAAAACAGUGUGACUCUGAGAAUGAGUUACCAGCAUACAGUGUAAAUUGCUGGCGAAGUACCGUUACCUUAAAGCCAUGAAUUAUAAGGUAACCCGGGAUACUCGUAACCAUACCGACUAGAGUUCCAGACGCCCUACAAGCGUCUAUAAGAUGUGACAUUUGUCACCCAUUGGCUUGGUAGGCCGGGACUGUAGCUAGCAGUCGGGGUGUGGGGUUGUCAAUCCCGUAUAGAUCUAUACACACAAUGUCCGCUCUCCCUACAGGAGACUCUGGUAACCAACUAGACGACGGAAAAGGCCGUGUCCUGAAGAUGCAUCCCAAAUAGUGGGUAGAGACUUCCAACUAGUGGGUUUCUAAUGUAAGUGGUGAACUAGAGGUAGAGACUCUUAACUGAAUUGACUGAAGUAAGCCCGUAUGUCUAUGUUUGUAUACAUAAUAUAUAAGUAAUGAAUUAAACGACCUUCGGAUGGAUAUCUGAUCCCACCAGACCACAUCUCAACGAAGAAAAGGAAAUAGGGCGGACGAGCCUUCCUAAGUCCUUCAUUCAUUAUCUAUAUGCAUCUAUACAAGCACAGACAUACAUCUAACCACGACUGAGUGUGUAUCAAGUAGAAUUGAUUCUUGUGAAGAAGGAGUGUCUAAUAAGUGAAGUAGGAGCAGUCGCAAGUAAAGUAGGAGUGUCGAACAAGUAUAAGCGUAUCAUGAAGUAGAGACGACAAUAAGUGAAGUAAGAGCAUAUCGAGUAUAAGUGAAGUAGAGUCGAUAUUAAGUAUAAGCGAAGUAGAAUCGUAUCACUAAGUAAGAGUGUGAAUAAGCAUGAACGUCCAUCAGGUAUAAGUGACUUCAAGUAUAAGUGAAAGCGUUACAGAGUAUGAGUAUAAGUUAAGUAUAAGCGAAGCAGCAGUAUUAAACAAGUAGAAGUAUAUGUCGAAAGAGGGAAGCUCUGAUGAAAAACCUUUAUGUCCGGAGAAAAUCACAAUUUGUAUUCUUUUGUAAAAUAUGUUUGAAAACCAUAGAAAAUCUUUCAUGAACUAGUUUGAAAUGAAACUUUGAUAAAACAGUAAAAGUAAGAACUUGAACAAGUGAAAAACCUUUUAGAAAACCAUUUAUAGUGUCCUACUCGGUAAAACAACAUACAAUGUGGUAAAAUCUUGUGCAUGCGGGUUAUCAAUCACAUGUGAUUGAUAUGAUAACUGGCAUGUUUAACUUGUAUUCCCCCCCUAUAAAACAUGUAAAAACAUUUAAAAGGUUCAUUCAGGGGUAUGAACUCACCUGGUGUAAGUAGGUCCGACGAAGGUGCCGUUUGGGCGUUCGGUGUCACGCAAGGACUUGAACACACACAAUGACCUAUUUAACAUAUGAUAACAUAUGUUCACAUACAAUUAGCAUAUUUAAUACUAAUUAAACAAAUAUACACGCUCACAGGAGCGGAAAACACUUUGGUUAAGCGUUUGGGUGUCCUGGGUAGCGUCUAAAGGUGCGUAUGGCUUAGGAAUGGAGUUUACUCUCCAAGAGUAAACCCCUAACACCAUGUUUAUGGCCCAGGGACUACUCACCAUGAUUUUACGGUCGUAAACUCAUGGUGAUGGGUUCUAGGGUGGUUUAAGGCUUCUACUUGCUCAUGGAAUUAUUCUAAGUACUUUUCCUAAAAGGCAUGAGUGGUUUUAAGGCUUCUAAGGGCUUUAUAUUGGAGUUUACGGCCUAGGAACAAAUCCUAAGGGAGUUUACGGUCGUAAACUCUCAUCCUUAGAGUUUUGUGAAGUUUAAAGCCCCUAAUACCUUGCUAGCAAUUUAUAAUGAAGUGUGAUGCUAUUUUGGGGGAUUAAAACUAUCAUUUAGAUGUGUUUUGGGGAGUUUACGGCCUAGACACUUGCUUGGGCCAUAAACUCCUUUUAAUCCCUCCAUUUCUUGUGUUUAAGCCCUUAAAUCCUUCCUAGCAUUUUAUAGAAAUAAUCUAAGGUCAUUUGGGGAACAAAAACCAACAUUUUGGCUUGAUUUGGGGAGUUUACGGCCUUGACACAUGUCUGGGCCGUAAAAUCCUAUUAAUCCACCAAUUCUUAAUGUUUAAGUGAUCUAAACCCAAGAGAAUAAGCCCCUAAUUUAUGUGUUAAGCCCUAGGGUGGUUUGGGAGUGUUUUGGAGGCAUUUUGACAUAGUUUAGAGGUGUUUACGGCCUAAGCAAGUGCUUGGGCCGUAAACUCUCUUUUAAGCCUCAAAAUGAUUGUUUUAGAUGUGCAAACACUCCUAGGCUAAUUCCUCUAUUUAUUUCCAAGUCAUUGGGGACAAGUUUGGGUCAUUUUGGCCUUAAAUAGGGUGUUUACGGCCUAAGGAGGAUCUUAGGCUGUGAACUCCUUUUCCAUUGCUUCUAAGUCCGAAUUUUGGGCCAUAAAUAUGAAUCAAUAUGUUUAAAAUAGGCUAGGGUAAGCGAACUUACAAUUUGGAAGCGUUUGGUUGCGGAUUCGGGGCGAAAACGGGUCUAGAGAGAGAGUAUAGAGAGAGAGUGUAAAAAGUCUCCAAUGGACUCCACUCACCCUUAUAUAGGGUUCCGAGUCGGGGCUCAGUGGAAUUUUACCCAAUACUGCCGUUAAACGGGGCUUUUGGUCGCACCUGAUUUAGUGGUCGUAACAAUAAAACUUAAGAUUUUCCAAAUAAAUGGAAAUGGGUGUUAUGUGUUUUAAUUUCUUUUUAUCACGACUUAACGACAUGUUAUAUGUAAACAAAUGGAAUGUUUAUUAAAUUGACGCCCUCUAAUUAACGGAACUUUUAUACAGUGAAAUAUUCCGUUAACGGUAACGGGGAAAUGUAACGGGACAACUUGGGUUGUCACACAAGCUCAUGGAGAUCAUAGGUAAGCAGCAUACCGACGAAGAGAAGAGGCGUGAGAGAGAAAGAGUGGAAAUGCUAGAAAUCCGACGACGGUGGAGCCGGGGAGGAGGUGAGCAGCCCACCGGUGGCAUUUUUCUUCCAUGAAGUUUUGUGACUACUUUUUUGACGGCUACAUUUUUUGGGGUUUACUUUAUUAUCCAAAACUCAAACAUUGAGUUGAAAAACUUGUAAAUUAAAUUAGAAUUUUGGUAUUUUUUUAUAGAUUUUAGCUAUAUAGUUUUCUAGUUUACUUUUUCUAAUCGAAGUUUGGCUGUUUUGAUUCUAUCAACGAUUUUCUAGUGUUUUUGUUAAUUUUUCAGCAAUUUUCUAAUUUUUUGUUAAUUGAUUAUUUAGUCUUUUACUUAAUCAGACAUAUAAACUACAUGUUNNNNNNNNNNNNNNNNNNNNNNNNNNNNNNNNNNNNNNNNNNNNNNNNNNNNNNNNNNNNNNNNNNNNNNNNNNNNNNNNNNNNNNNNNNNNNNNNNNNNNNNNNNNNNNNNNNNNNNNNNNNNNNNNNNNNNNNNNNNNNNNAUAUAUAUUAGCAAGCCUAAAACCGGGGGGGCCAUGGCCCUUCCUGACCCUCAAGAGGCUCCGCCAUUGCACUCUCCUCUUCCAUCCAUUUAUGGAGAUUUUGGUGCUUUGGAGAAGAAAAAUAUAUUAUUGGUGCUUAGAUCUAGCAAGCAAGUUCCCUCACCACCUUAAAGAUCAUACCUUAGACCAUGGUAAAUCCUCAAGUUCCAACCUUUCUGAAUUGUUCUUCGAAGAUCUAGACUUUUAUGCCCUUUUCUUCAUGUUGGAGGUGGUUUGAGUGGUUAGAUUUCAUAAUGUUGGCAACUUUAUGGAUCCAUGAGGUCCAUUUGAGGUUUGGUGUGCUAGAUCUACGAGUUGGUUGAGUUUUGGUCCCAUAAAUGAGAUUUGGAUCUCAUUUUCACCAUUUUGACCUAAUCAAGUUCAAGACAUGCACUUGACAUGCAUGUCAAUAAAAUAAAAUUUUUUAUGUUGCUUUUGAUGUAUGAAAGCCCUCUGGAAAGUUAGAAUGGAUGACUUAAUGGAUUAAGGACUUAAGACAUUAGGAUGUAACAUCAGGCGUGGCUUACGUCGUGACACAGGGAGUGUCACGACGUGAGAGUGGUUUUUAUGCGAAUGUUUCUACUGUCCGAGCUCACGACAUAACCAAGGAAGGUUCACGUCGUGAGGUUUGCUGAGUGGAUCAUCUGGGAUCAAUUUGACUGAGUUGAAGCGAGUUGAGCUGGAAUUUGGCCGAGUGCGUUCUCACGAUGUGACCAAGGACUAGUCACGACGUGAGUGUCAACUGAUGGAAAUGUUGACCGUUGACUUUGAGUGUUGACUUUUGGUGGAGUUGACUUUUGGUCAAAUUGCUAGUUUAGAAUGUGGACUAAUGGUUUACCUUGUGUGGUUUGUUAGGAGGUGUAUGACACUCGUUCGAUGGUUGUGUGUUGUGGAUUUUGUCGGCUAAGUGAGUUACCUUCACUGUAUCCAUGGUUCGAAGGCACCAAUGUUGGCCCAUUAGUUGAUGUUUAUAGUAAGAUGAUUGUCUUUGUGAUAAUUAUAUGGUAUGCUAGUAUUUGUUGAUGUUUAUGUGGUUAUUUGACUAUGAUAUUAUGUGGUAAUGGUAGUGGUAGGGGUGAAAUAGACUCGGUAUCCGGUGGAAAUAGACCGCAUGGGAUUACAAGCACUCAGAUAUGCUUGAUAGUAUUCAGUUGAAAUAGACCGAAGGGGAUUGCAAGCACCCAAAUAUGCUUGAUAUUAUCCGGUUUAAAUAGACCGAAGGGGAUUUCAAGCACCUAGAUAUGCGUGAUAGUAUCCGGUUGAAAUAGACCGAAAGGGGUAGGUGAGCACCCAAAUAUGCUUGGCAGUAUGCAUGUUUAGUAUGUGGUAUAUUGGGGAAGCUCAUUAAGCUUUGUGCUUACAAUUUUCAGUUUAUGUUUUCAGGUACUUCUGUUUUGAACGGGAAGAGUUCGGGAUGACUACAUUACACACACCACAUUGUUCUGUAUAUUACAUGACUCUGAUGCACUUGGAUGUUUAUUAUACACUCUAAUUCACUAUGGUUUUUAUGAUAUUGUUUUGGACAAUGGUUUUAUUAAUUUAUAAAUCAAAAUUUUUAGUCUAAAUUUUGGGGACGUUACAUUGGGGAAAAUAUUAUUAAUGGAUAAUGUUUUGACAUUUAGGAUUUAGGUUGAGCCGGUACUUUGGAGCAUAGUAUUGAUCAACUAUUUGGUAGAUUAUGAGGUGAGUUUUCCUCACUGUACUUACAGGUCAAAGGCACCAAGUCCAGCUCAUUGGAUUGAUAUUCUUUUAUACAUUGAUUUAUGAUAUGCUGAGAAUGGGAUAAAUCAGUAUGGUUAUAUGAUAGUUACGUGUAUGUGUAGACCGAUAGAUCUUUAGGACUAUCUGUGAUUUAUGGUUGCAUGAUUGUUUGUUUGUUGAAUAUGUUUGUUAUAUGUUAUAUAUCGACACAUUGUGGUGGGUUGAGACUUUACUACAUUGUGCGUGAGUCAACAGACCGGGGGUAUUCCAGUCUGAUGAUUGAGUGGACCCGAGGGUAUUCCAGUCCGAUAACGGAGUGGGCCCGAUUAUAUUGGUAUUCUAGUCCGAUGACUAAGUGGACUUGUUGUAUGUUGGCAUUCCGGUUCGACUAAUUGGGCCAGGGGUAAUCCAGACCGAUGGCUGUGGACCCGUGGGUAUUCCAGUCCGAUGACCGAUUGAACCUAACAUACUUGUUUGUAUAUGAUAUGUGUAUUGUGUGGUGGUACUUUGGGGGAACUCACUAAGUUUUGGCUUACAGUUUUUGGUUAUGGUUCCAGGUAUUUCAAAUGACCGUGACAAGGUGAAUGUGUGACCGUAUACAUCUUGAUUUUAUGUUGUUGAUCUUGAUAGACUCUGAUUUUAAAUAAUAUUUUUGGAAACAAUGGUUUUGUAAACCCUUUUAUUAGUAAAUAGUUGUUUUGAAAAGUUUAAAUUGAUUGUGAUUUUUGAGAUGUUACAUUAGGUGGGUUCGUUUGAAAUAAACUUGAAAUCUAGGUUUUUUUUUCUGAUGGGUUUGUUUGUUGUGUUCUUCAAAUCUUUGUUUGGUUCAUCAGAGUUUGUUCAUGGCGUUCUUGAGAGCUUCUUCAGAUUUGAGUGUAUGCGUGUGUUAUAUCAGAAAUUGAAAACCAUUACAACGAUUUCGUUUUUACUAGUUCUAUCACAACUGUUUUUGAAAAAACCAUCUGGUUCGAUCUGGUCUAAGAAAUAGUAUAAAAAAGAUUGUUACUAAACCACUCUCGUCCCUGAUCAACCAAUUAAAUUGAUAUAAAAGAAAUUGAUAAAUUAUGGUGUGAAACAAAAAUCACUAACACCGUUCAAUGAGUAAAGAUUAUACUCUCAAUAUCAAAUUGAGUUCAUCAACAAUCACAUGAAACAUGUGAAAGUACACGGUGAUUCUAUCAAAAACUUUUUAGUAGCAACAUCUUACAACACAUUACAUUUAUAUCAUUUGAAAAUGAACAAUUUAAAUGACUAUGCAUUUUAAUGUCAAUGCUACUUAUUCUCAGAGUACAAACAAACUUUGGGUGUUUAUCAUUUAACAGGNNNNNNNNNNNNNNNNNNNNNNNNNNNNNNNNNNNNNNNNNNNNNNNNUAUAUAGUUUGGUUCACAAUCAAACAUGGAGGCUUAAUUGAUAUUUGGAUACGUAAUUGUGUUUGUAAAUUUUUUUAACCUGGUUGAAGUUUUGUUGAACAUAUAUGUUUUAUUUUGCCAAAAUGUGUAGAUUUUAUUAGAACUUCACAUAAAGAUCAAGAAACAUGUGACAAAUCUUGUUAUUCUAAUCAUAAUUAAAGUACACUAAUAAUAUCGUAACGAUGUUAUCAAUUUUUUUCUCAUUUGUUUACAAUUAUACAAACAAGAGUAAAAUAUCAAAUAGUUAAAAUGAAUAAGUGAACCAAUAGUUUUAUUAUUUUAUGUUUAUUAAAUUACAUAUUAAAAUAUUGUUUUUUUUUGUUCCUACGGAAAUAGUAUCCCAACUUCCCAAGCCAACCGAAUACCAUCUUCCUCAGCGUUGCCCUGUUCUUUCUCCCCAUAUCAAGGCCAUAUCUUCCCCAACUCCAAUUUAUGAAAUAACUAUCAUCUCUUACAUCUUUCUCAAAUUUCUAUCACCAGAUGAUGGCGAUCAAAUAUGAUCACACUUUCCCAAUUUUGCCUAACAUCAAUCGAUUAAAAAAUUAUCCCAUGAUUCUCAUCCCUUUCCAUCAGACCUCCAAAUCCAUUAAUGGUGGAACAAUUACAAUCACCCGUCCAUCUCUAAUUUCUCUUUAUCGAUCCUUUUUUUGGGAUUUAGACCUGACAACAUUUCUCGAUUACUACGUAUGAAAUGAGUACAAGAUCAAGGAGCCCAAGCACCAUGGAAGAGAUCUUCAAGGGCAUUAUCACACUUCCUACUUACGGUAUAUCUAUUCUUCUUCGACAUUAUUUUGUUUGUAUAUUAUACAUGUUAUUAAUUCAUUUUCGUUGAUGGAACAUGGAUUAUACUCGAUCUAUAUCCACUUCUAUUUAAUUUAACUUUUUAAUACCUUCGUCAAACAUACUCCAAUUGAUUGAUUAAUUAUGUCAUGACAAUAUCUUGUGUUAAACUUGACGUGUUCCUUAGUUUAUCUUUAAAAAUUCAAUCAUGUAAAGUAUAAAUUAAUCUAACUAAUUUUAUAUAUAAGAAUAUAUGUUGCUAGGAGUCUAAAUUUUGUAUUUUAGUACUUAUCAAGGCUCUUGUAAAGUCAAUUAUCUACUCGGAUAUAUAUGAUUACUAGACUCAUGCAAUGUUAAUUUAAAAAAAGAAAAAAAUUAAAUAUAAAGGUCAAAAUAUUUGAGAACUUUGAAUUUAUAAGAAAAUAAGAAAAAUAAUGAAUUGCUAUAAUGAAAAUGUUUUUUAUCUUUUAAAUUUAAACAGGUAAUUUAAAUAAAAAAAAUAAACUAAUGAACUUUAAUUGUAGUAAUUUUGAAAUUAAAAGAUAAGUUUAUUAAUUAAAUUAAUAUUCAUUUAUUGCUAUAUUUAUUAUAGUUAUUAUAUUAAAAUAUGGGAAAUGAUUCGUACACAACAGUUUUUUGUCGUACACAACAAUUCAUGCAUUAUAUAGUUGUACAGUACAACAUUUUAAAGCACCAAUUGUUGUGUACGGAGAAAAAUUAUUGUGUACGAAUCAACUCCCUUAAAAUAUUAUGUGGAAUUUAAUAAAACAGAAAAGUACAUAUGGAAAUAAAUUUAAUUCAAAAUAACCACAAAAUGACAUUUGACAAAUUAAAUGAGAAUAUGACAAGUGACAAAAAAAAAAAAAAAAAAAAAAAAAAAAAAAAGAAAAAAAAAAAAAAAAAAAAAAAAAAAAAAAAAAAAAAAAAAAAAAAACUCUUAUUUAUUAGAAAAGAUAGUAAAGUAAUGUCAUGUGUGAAUGUAUGUAGUUAUAAAAGUAAUGGUAAUCAUAAUAAAAGAUGAGCGAAUAUAAAUGAUUAAUAAAACGUUUGUAUAUCAAAGUUUUAUAUGAAAAAACAAACCCUAUGAAUGUGAUAAACUUCUUUCAGGAUAAGAGAUGAAUGAAAACUAAUAAUAAAAGGUGAGUGAAUAUAGAUGAUUAAUAAAACUUUUAUAUAUUAAGACAAUAAAAGUUUUAUAUGAAAAAUAAAAGGUGAGAAUGUGAUAAACUUAUUUUAGAAUAAGAGAAAUGAAAACUAAGUUGUAUUUUCUGGAACAAAAAAAAAUCCUCUUUUAUUAUUUAAAUAUAGAAUCUUUUUUUUUUUUUCAGAGAAUAACUUUUUCAAAUCAUUUGUACUAUAUUACUUUCUUAAAUAGUCAUAAUCUACAAAAUAUUUAAAACACUAAUUUUAUCACAAUUUAGUCAACAUAAAUACAACAAAAUACUAUAUUUUAUAACUUGUUUUCACUACGAUUGAUUUAUGUAUUUAUUGUAUAAUCAUUUCAAAAUGUAAAUUACUAAAUCCACAUUUUCUAGCAUACAAUAAACCAUAUGUAUUUUAUUUUUGACAUGUGAGAUAUGAAGUUGCAACUUGCAAAUCACCUUGAUGCCCUACCGAGAGUAUCUACAAUAAAAAAUAAAAUUUUCAAUACCAUUUUUGAUGUAAUAUAACAUCACAUAAACAAACUAAUUUCAUGUUCUUGAGUUUUUUUUUUCAAGAAAAAAUUUGUUAUUGAGGUUUUUAAUGAAGGAAAUGAAGGAAAUAAUGGAAAGAAGGAAAUUGUAUCUUCUCUUCCUUUUUCUUCCGGUUGCCCAAAAAUAGAAGGAAAUAUUUCAUGAAAAAUAAGUAUAUUUGGAUGAAACUUAAAAAGUUUGUUAUCGAGGUUUUUAAUGAAGGAAAUGAAGGAAAUAAUGGAAAGAAGGAAAUUGUAUCUUCUCUUCCUUUUUCUUCCGGUUGCCCAAACAUAGAAGGAAAUAUUUCAUGAAAAAUAAGUAUAUUUGGAUGAAACUUAAGAAGACAUCUCCUUUCAUUUCAUUACUUAAAAAAACGAAAACAAAAUGUAAAAGACUUAACAAACAUCAACUAUAUAGAAUCAUUUUUACGGAGUUUAUUUAUGGUUUCGUCAAUAUCAAUUUAUAGAGUAAUGAAUAAAACACAAGAUUGACUGAUAACCCUUGUAGCAACAUAAACAAUACAAUGUGUGAUAUGUGCCUCGCAAUCCCACCCAAGUAAUCUUUGCAACCCCAUUACCUCUUUAUCCUAAUCGGAUCGAACAAAACCCUCAAAACAAAGCAAAACUCAUUUCACAAACUACAACCCUCAUUAUAAAGCACAAAACAUUCUCACAAAACACAAACCAUUUUCGCAAAGCACAAUCCUCAUCGCAAAGCAAAUACUAUUUUCACAGAGCUCGACCCUUAUUAGAAAUCACAACUCUCUUCACACCGCACAACCAUUUUCCACAAAACACGACCUCUUAUAACACAAUUCAGACCAUACAAAAACAUCCCACCUUCAACCCGAUAUAUAGUUAACCUCUACAACUAAUAACAACUCUAAGCAAGUAAAAUAGCAUCAGAAUGCUCCAUCAUUAUCAUAUAAAAGCACACAACAUAACAAUCCUAGUAAUAUAUAUAUAUAUAUAUAUAUAAACUCACAUGACCACAUAAAUACAAAUAGAUAAAAUUAGACUCGAAAUUAUUUGAUUUGAUAUGUGUGCACUGAAAACUAAUGUAUCACUUUCGACUUCAGAAUAACUUAUUCAACUCACCGCUUCAUAAUUCUUAAAUUAAUCAAGAGGAAUCGAGACAAAUUUUACAAUGUUUAUUCUCUUAUGAUCCAAGACCACAUGCUCUCUUCUUGAUCUAGAACCAUUGCUGUUAUGAAAUUUCUCUCUAAAUGAUUUUGUUCAUGUAUUGAUUGCCUAUCGCAUAUAUCCAUAAAUAUCAAGAUAAUGCCUUACGAAUCACAUAUAUACAUAUACAACUAGUAUUAUAUUUAUGAAAUAAAUAUUGAUAAUAUACUUUUUAUUACGAAGCAUGCAACAACAACAAUUAUAUCUAGCUUAUAUAAAACCAUGUUUUUUUUCCCACCAAUCACAAAGUCAUAUAUUUUAUAAUCGUUUAAUUACCUAGUCGAUCAAUUAUAGUCAAUCUAAUCUAAGUGCUAAAACCAUCUCAUCCAAGUUAUUAUUUCCAAUUAUUUGUUUUAAAAUGGUAAAUAUUUAUUUUAUAUUAGUAGUUAGGAAUAUUAAAUAUAAGAUACAUUGUGUAUUUAUAUUGCAUUUUAAUUGGGAAUAUAAAAUAUAAGAUACAUAUUGUAUGUUUUUAUACAUGUUAGAGCUCUUGUUUACACACAGCCCCACUUGAUACAAAAAUCCUAUUGUACUUAUACCCAUUAGGUCCUUCAUUCACAAUGGAUGAUUGUUAAUCAUUUAAACGGGUGUCAAUUAAUUAAAUGUUGCCUUAUAAUUUAUAAGGUUAAUUGUAUAUAUUUGUUGUUGAAACAUGCGGGGGCAAUGAAGACUCUGAGAAUGACCGUUGGAUUUUCACUUGUUUAAAAAAAAAAAAUCGUUAUAUUUUCUUGUAAUUUAGGAUUUUAGGUAAACGCCUAUAAUAAUAUACUAUUAUACCAUCCCUUAAAUUAAUCGAAAACAAACCCAUAGUUAUAUAUGUUCCCAUUGUUUACUCGUAUAUCCAACUUUAUAGCUCAAUUUCUUGCUUUUUGUGUAGGCUUUCCCACUNUCCCCCUUUUUGGGUUUUUUUUUUUUUUUUUUUUUUUUUUUUAAUAUUUUAAAAUUUAAACGAAUUGUUUUGUUAUGAAAGAUGUUUACGUUGUCAACAUUUUGAUAUUUAAUUUAACUUUUGUAAAAAAUCGAAUUGUUUAAUUAUAGAGACAAUGAUUUUACUGCUCGUUGACAAAUAUUUCUAUUAAUUUAAAUACGAUCUUUUGAAUAUUAUAAAAUAUGAUAGUUUACAUUAUUAUAAAAUAUGUUAGUUUACAUUAUUAUUGAUAAGGGGUUUACUAACUAUGCUCAGUUUAAAUAAUUAGAUAUAAAAGUAUUGGAUUCUAAACAUUGGUGGAGGGGAGCAAUUGGUUGGACAUAUUCUACAAUGGAGAAGGUAUCAAUUUCACAACAAUACCAUGUCUGUUGUUUUCUUUAUAAAUUUGCUGUUUAAUUUAAAGGAAAAUGACUCUUGAGGGUAAUUAACUUUUGCGUUUUUACUCAUUUGGUUUUUUUUUUUUUUUUUGUAUUCAAUAUACCAUCGAACUUGUUGUUGGUGUUUACCAUAGCCCUUUUGACCGGCUUUUGACCUGUGAUAGCCGGUCAAAGGGUUAUGGUGAACACAAACAACAAGUUCGAUGGUAUAUUGAGUACAAAAAAAGGGACCAAAUGAGAACAAACGCAACAGUUGGUUACCCUCCUGAUUCAUUUUCUUUUUACUCAUUUACAGCAAAUCACACGUCAUCUCUUACUGAAAUUAAUGACUAUGAGAUUCAUUAUUGCUUCUUUUCAAAACAUAACUCACGAAAGGACAUUAUUCAUGCAUGUACAACUUUGUAAUGCACUUGAAUAUUUAUUAGAGGAAUCUUGACUAAGCAGACGCAUUUCAUGACUACAUUUACAUUUGCAAUCAAAUGAUUUAUCGUAUCAUGGAUUCUAGACAAGUCUACAAACGAGUGGAAUCACAAGUGCUGUGAUUUUUGAGUUUACUUAGAUUUAAGAUCGAACUCAUUGGAUAAGAUACAUCAUCAAUAUGUACAAUAUCAUGCUGUUUUUGUAAACACAUCACCAUAAUAUUAUACAUAUUGAUGUUGUAUCUUAUCCCAUGAGUUCGAUCUUAAAGUUAAGUAAACUAAAAAAUCACAGCACUUGUGAAUCCACUCGUUUGUAGACUUGUAUAGAACCCAUGAUACGAUAAAUCAUUUGAUUGGAAAUGUAAUGUAGUCAUGAAAUGCGUCUGCUUAGUCAAGAUUUCCCUAAUAAAUAUUCAAGUGCAUUAUAAAGUUGUACAUGUGUGAAUAAUGUCCUUUGGUAGGUUAUGUUUUGAAGAUAAGCAAGAAUAAAUCUCAUAAAGUCAUUAAUAUCAAUAGGAGAUGAUGUGAGAUUUGUUGUAAAUAAAUAAAGGGAAAAUGAAUAAGGAGGGUAACCAACUGUUGCGUUUGUUCUCAUUUGGUCCCUUUUUUUUGUACUCAAUAUACCAUCGAACUUGUUGUUUGUGUUCACCAUAACCCUUUGACCGGCUAUCACAGAUCAAAAGCCGAUCAAAAGGGCUAUGGUAAACACCAACAACAAGUUCGAUGGUAUAUUGAAUACAAAAAAAAGGGACCAAAUGAGUACAAACGCAAAAGUUAAUUACCCUCAANNNNNNNNNNNNNNNNNNNNNNNNNNNNNNNNNNNNNNNNNNNNNNNNNNNNNNNNNNNNNNNNNNNNNNNNNNNNNNNNNNNNNNNNNNNNNNNNNNNNNNNNNNNNNNNNNNNNNNNNNNNNNNNNNNNNNNNNNNNNNNNNNNNNNNNNNNNNNNNNNNNNNNNNNNNNNNNNNNNNNNNNNNNNNNNNNNNNNNNNNNNNNNNNNNNNNNNNNNNNNNNNNNNNNNNNNNNNNNNNNNNNNNNNNNNNNNNNNNNNNNNNNNNNNNNNNNNNNNNNNNNNNNNNNNNNNNNNNNNNNNNNNNNNNNNNNNNNNNNNNNNNNNNNNNNNNNNNNNNNNNNNNNNNNNNNNNNNNNNNNNNNNNNNNNNNNNNNNNNNNNNNNNNNNNNNNNNNNNNNNNNNNNNNNNNNNNNNNNNNNNNNNNNNNNNNNNNNNNNNNNNNNNNNNNNNNNNNNNNNNNNNNNNNNNNNNNNNNNNNNNNNNNNNNNNNNNNNNNNNNNNNNNNNNNNNNNNNNNNNNNNNNNNNNNNNNNNNNNNNNNNNNNNNNNNNNNNNNNNNNNNNNNNNNNNNNNNNNNNNNNNNNNNNNNNNNNNNNNNNNNNNNNNNNNNNNNNNNNNNNNNNNNNNNNNNNNNNNNNNNNNNNNNNNNNNNNNNNNNNNNNNNNNNNNNNNNNNNNNNNNNNNNNNNNNNNNNNNNNNNNNNNNNNNNNNNNNNNNNNNNNNNNNNNNNNNNNNNNNNNNNNNNNNNNNNNNNNNNNNNNNNNNNNNNNNNNNNNNNNNNNNNNNNNNNNNNNNNNNNNNNNNNNNNNNNNNNNNNNNNNNNNNNNNNNNNNNNNNNNNNNNNNNNNNNNNNNNNNNNNNNNNNNNNNNNNNNNNNNNNNNNNNNNNNNNNNNNNNNNNNNNNNNNNNNNNNNNNNNNNNNNNNNNNNNNNNNNNNNNNNNNNNNNNNNNNNNNNNNNUAUAUAUAUAUAUAUAUAGUGUUCUAAUUAAAUCUACUUAUGAUUUUGGUAUUUAUAAAUUUCUAAAAAUAUUUUUACAUGAAGUAGUAAGGUAAAAUGGUCAUUUUCCAUCAAUCAACAUAUUCAUUCAGAUAUGCAAUCAAACAACAUGGUUUUUACUCAGUCAUGAUUUCAUACCUAGACAUAUUUUUCUAAGUCAGCAACUAUCAAACGGGACCUUAGUGUCGUUUGUGAUAUUUACCCAAUAAAUUAAUAUCUACAAAAUUCAUUGAGUUCUAAUGAUUUACUAACUAACUUAAACCAUGAAAAUAAGCUUGAAGAACUCCAUGAAGCCAUAAGUAAAUUUGAAAAGUUCCAUUAGAUCAAAUAGCAUAAGUACUAACAAAUGAUAGAUUUUUUUAGAUCAUGUAUGACUUAUAAAUAUCAAAUUAGGAGUGUUUGUGAUUGCUUAUUUAAAACAUCUUAUGCUUUUUUAGUAAAAUCUUUUAAAAGUAGACAAUUGCAAAAGAUCAAAUGUUAAACAUAAAUAAUCACUAAGUGUUUCUCUUAAAAAAAACAAGCAAAUUCUAAAGUGCAUUAUACACUACCAAUUUCCUUCGUAAGCUUCAAAUCGCCAUUGAUUAUCUUUCCUUCUGUCUUGGUAACCAUGUUUUCUACAACUUUUUAUCUUUAAUGGUUAGGUUCCGUUUGAUAAUUGUUGUAUGGGAAAAUGCGGUCUGAGAAAAUUUUAUGAUCGAGAAAGAAAUUAUGUUGUUUGAUUGUAUAUCUGACUGACUGUGUUGAAUGCUGAAAAAAUACCAUAUCACCAUUUUGUUCUAUACUGUGAUGGAUGAAGUUGGUGAAUAAUUAUAAAAACAUUCAAAUUGUCAUACAAAAUCAAAAUUACACGAUAACCAUUUAAAAAUCCAGAUACUAAUUCUCAUACAAAUUAAUUAAACAUAAAUCAAUUAAAAUCCAAAUAGAAGCAUACUAAAAUUGAAAAUAACAUACUAAUUUGCGCUUUUCAAACUUUAUAUUGUGCACAAAUACAACUCUAAAGUGAACCAAGUGAAAGCAGUUGAUUAGCAAUUUGCUCACGCAAAGUAGCUAUGUAUUCGACAACUUCUGAACCUCAUUCUAUGCUUUGUGUGUUUUCGCCUCAAUUCCUUCACCUUGCACACCAGGAUUAACCAUAACAUUCUCUUCAAAAUUUGCAAAUAAUUCAUCUUGGAUAUUGUAUCUCCGUAUAAAAUUAUGGACCGCGACACAAACAAUUACUAUGUUUGUUUGUAUCGGAAAAAUGAUAAGGAGCCAUUUGUUAUAAGAUUGAGAAUCUCACCUUCAAUAAACCUUAAGCACGCUUAAUAACAUUUCUAAAUUGUGCGUGAGCCCGCGAGCGCCAUUAACCCGCGAGUGUUGGUAUAUUCAGCGUCACAAAGGUAAUAUUUAUUUGUAUGUGAAUGACAUUUAUUAUAUAAAUAAUAUGGAUAAUAAAACUUAUAUAAAAAUCAUAAACCUGGUGGAGGGAAUGAAAAUCUGAAAGUCGGAUUGAAUACAACUUCUUUCAAAAUGCUUGAAUCAUGUGCUAUACCCAUACAAAGGUGAAUAUCAUAUUAAAAUAUCAAAUUCCUGAUAUAUUUUGAUGACGUUCACCAUUUUCUCUUCCCUUAUAUCGUGUUUGUUGAUCAACGAACACAACUACAUGUACAAGAGUUCUAUUUAAUACACACAUUGCUCUAAAAAAUAUGGCUUUAAACCGUCUAGGUUGUUUUGAGACAUGUCUUGUUGGAUUAGGAGUUGUUGGUACUCUAAUUUCUAUUGCAAAACACGUCAUUGCAGUUAGGACCUCGUAAAAUAUUGAUAAAUGAUUUGUGUGGAGUGAUGAAAUAUUCCUUUAACCGCUCGAAAAAUGUUUAUUAUGUCCCAUAGUAUGUAAAAAAUAGUCAUAUUCUCUUCAAUGCUUAUUAUCCUACUAGCUUGCAACCAACUUCUUUGCGUAAAGUAAUUGCAUAAUAAUACAAAUGUUUAUUGCGUAAGAUGCAUCAUAUCGUAACAUUGUAUAGGACAUUUGUGUAUCAAAUCUUGCGUAUACACAUACCCACUCGAAUUGUUAUCUCUUAUUCUACAAUCUUUUGUUUAGCCUUGUCCGAUUUAACCUCGAACAAUACAAACACGAGUACAAGAAAAGCUAAAGCUCAACAUUAGCAAUCAUAAUUGACAUAUAAAAAACAAUUACAUAUAACAUGUCAAAUGUAAAAUAAAUAACAACAAUUUUUUUUUAUCCAAUAACAAAAGUCAUGCACAAAAAAUGAUCCAAUAACAAAAGUUAUACAUAUAGAUGCCAUCAAACGUAACAUAACAAAAGUCAUACAAAAAGUCAUCAAACCUAACAUCCAAAAGUCAUGCAACAAAUAAUUAGUAAAAAUCAUCAAACGUAACAUUUAAAAGGUCACCGAAGGUAGCCAAACUUCAUUCCUGCACUCCUCACCCACGAGUCACAAAUAGUAGGCGUAAGUUGUAACCAAACUUUUUUCCUAACAUCGACACUUUCAACAAAUAGCAAGAGAGCGGUCUUGUGUCUUUCAUCUUCUUCUCCCCAUCCUAUUUUUGCCAAUUUAUCCAUACAUUCAUCAAUGUCCCUAUCCAUUUCACUUCUUUGAUUUUGUUCCACCAACGUCCUUGCAAACUUGAUGAUUUCCUCCUCAAAGGUGUACAUGCGUUCCGCAAAGGCGUACUCAUUUCUGCAAGCCCCUCUUUGCGGAAUUGUGUAAAAACAUUUUUUUCCGUCUUUUUCCUCACAUGUGUGAUUCCUCAAAGCAAUUUUCCAUUCUCAAAGUGUAAAGACUUUGCAGAGUCCCUCUUUAUAGAAGUUGUGGUCAUUUAAUAAAAUUAUGUUUUUUAUGGUCAUUUGCUACAAACACUAUUCCUUAUGGUCAUUUGAUGAAUUUUCUCCUAAAUUAAUUCCUAAUGGUUCAGUUUGAACCUUUAACAUGUCAAUGUCGAUAUAUCUAAUAAUUAUAAGUCAUAAGUCUCAAUUAUUAUUAUUUUUAUAUAUACAGGAGACUUUUUUCAUGGAUCAAUGUGGCAAGAAUGGAACCUCUUAUUGGCCCAAAACACAAAAAUACGACUGAGGUUUGAGGGCAUGAAUUGUUAUUAAUGAGACUUGACAAGGAUAAUAUCGUAAUUAAAUAACUCCUCUAUACCUAAAUCUAAUAAUAGUAAACCAAAAAGAGAUGGAGGCUGGCUAGGGCAUCACAAUAUGGAAUCCACGGCUGAUCCCAAACCCUCACCCGCACAACCGUCAGAUCACUUCAUCCAACGGCUCUAAAAAAACCCUAAUCUCAUACCUUCUUUACUCCACUUAUAAAAACUCUCUUUGCAGCACACUCCUUCCAUUCUUCAUUUUCCUCCAUCUAUUGAGAGAGCUAGUCUGCAGAUAAUUCAUUAAGGUCAGACCGAUUCUUCCGUUUUCUUUCCCUUAAAUCUAGUAGAUAUCGUCUGUAUGCUUCUUUGUUUAUUUAGAUCUGUUUUGAUUCUGAUCAAUUAGACCUGGUUUGUUGUCCGAUGAGCCUUUUUUCUUUACAUGUUUUUGCUCUUAAUUAUGUGUAUACGAAACAAACUCUUUGUUGAUUGAUUCGCUUGGAUCUUGUAUUUAAGUUUGAGUUUUCGAUUGAGUUAACACAACUGGUUUUGAUUUUACAACAAAACUACUUGUAUUUAUUAAUAAAUCCUUUAGGAUCUUUUAAUUACCGAUGGAUUUUGUAAUCUAUUGAUGAAUCCUCGUAGAAUUAUUUUAUUUUCCAUGUUUUAUCUUAUCAUGGUCUUGAGCUACUCGAUUUGAAAAGAAUUGUAACAGAUCUGUGAAGUUCAAAGCAGCUAAACAUCAAAUUUUACUCUACUUUCUAACCGAUGAAGUUGAAAUCGUAUUUCGAUCUUCUUAUUUCUGUUUUUUGAGUAAAUCGUUUUAUUUAUCGUCAACAUAAGUAAGUAUAUGCUGUUAUUGUUCCAAUUCAUUUUUAUAAACGUUUAUUGUCUCAACUCUUCGAUUUUGUUGUCUGAUGAAACACAUACAAAGUUACCCAUUAACCUUUACUAGUUAGAAACGUUUUUUGGUUUAGUCACAUCGAUUUGCUGUUUUCCUUGUGUGUUCUUUCUGCUAUCUGCUUCUUUUGAAUUUCUAAUUUCGUUGUGAGUUUCAAUUAACAGUUUGAUUUGUUGUAUCAGGAUGGGUAAGGAAAAGAUUCAUAUCAGCAUUGUCGUCAUCGGACAUGUCGACUCCGGCAAGUCAACAACCACUGGUCACUUGAUCUACAAGCUUGGAGGAAUCGACAAGCGUGUGAUCGAGAGGUUCGAGAAGGAAGCUGCUGAGAUGAACAAACGUUCUUUCAAAUACGCAUGGGUGCUCGACAAACUUAAGGCCGAGCGUGAACGUGGUAUUACCAUCGAUAUUGCCCUCUGGAAGUUUGAAACCACCAAGUACUACUGCACAGUCAUCGAUGCCCCCGGACAUCGUGAUUUCAUCAAGAACAUGAUUACUGGUACUUCCCAGGCCGAUUGUGCCGUUCUCAUCAUUGACUCCACCACUGGAGGUUUCGAAGCUGGUAUUUCCAAGGAUGGGCAGACCCGUGAGCACGCUCUUCUCGCUUUCACUCUUGGUGUGAAGCAAAUGAUCUGCUGUUGUAACAAGGUAAUGAAUUAAUAAUUAUUCUUGGUUGUUUUGUUAUUCAAUAUAUUUUUAUCUAUGAUGCUUACUGGUAUGAUGGUAUUUUUGUAGAUGGAUGCUACCACCCCUAAAUACUCCAAGGGUAGGUACGAGGAAAUCGUGAAGGAAGUGUCUUCAUACUUGAAGAAGGUCGGAUACAACCCAGACAAAAUCCCAUUCGUUCCAAUCUCUGGAUUCGAAGGUGACAACAUGAUUGAGAGGUCAACCAACCUUGACUGGUACAAGGGACCAACCCUUCUUGAAGCUCUUGACCAGAUCAACGAGCCAAAGAGACCCACAGACAAGCCACUCCGUCUACCACUUCAGGAUGUUUACAAGAUCGGUGGUAUUGGAACUGUGCCAGUGGGACGUGUUGAGACAGGUAUCAUCAAGCCUGGUAUGGUUGUGACCUUCGGACCAACAGGGUUGACCACUGAAGUCAAGUCUGUUGAGAUGCAUCAUGAAGCUUUGACCGAAGCUCUUCCUGGUGACAAUGUUGGGUUCAAUGUUAAGAAUGUUGCUGUGAAGGAUAUCAAGCGUGGGUAUGUUGCCUCAAACUCCAAGGAUGAUCCUGCUAAGGGUGCUGCCAGUUUCACUUCCCAGGUUAUCAUCAUGAACCACCCUGGUCAGAUCGGAAAUGGUUAUGCUCCAGUGUUGGAUUGCCACACUUCUCACAUUGCUGUUAAGUUCCAAGAGCUGUUGACCAAGAUUGACAGACGAUCAGGAAAGGAGCUUGAGAAGGAGCCCAAGUUUUUGAAGAAUGGUGAUGCAGGUAUGGUUAAGAUGAUGCCGACCAAGCCUAUGGUGGUGGAGACUUUCGCAGAGUACCCACCUCUUGGAAGGUUUGCUGUGAGGGACAUGCGUCAGACUGUUGCUGUUGGUGUGAUCAAGAGUGUUGACAAGAAGGACCCGACUGGAGCUAAGGUGACCAAGGCCGCAGCCAAGAAGGGUGUCAAGUGAUAUGAUAGGUGUUGUGUUUUGGUGAUCGAGUCUUUUUAUUUUCUGUCUGUUUGGAUUACUAGUUUUGGACAAUCUUAUAUUUUGUUGAAGAGUUUUUGGUAUUGGAUCUGGGAAGUUUCGUUAUGUUGGAAAC